rnacentral:rRNA from 1 species
UGAGGAAUAUUGGUCAAUGGGCGCAAGCCUGAACCAGCCAUGCCGCGUGCAGGAUGAAGGCUUUCGGGUUGUAAACUGCUUUUGUACGGAACGAAAAGACUCCUUCUAAUAAAGGGGGUCCAUGACGGUACCGUAAGAAUAAGCACCGGCUAACUACGUGCCAGCAGCCGCGGUAAUACGUAGGGUGCGAGCGUUAAUCGGAAUUACUGGGCGUAAAGCGUGCGCAGGCGGUUAUGUAAGACAGAUGUGAAAUCCCCGGGCUCAACCUGGGAACUGCAUUUAUGACUGCAUGGCUAGAGUACGGUAGAGGGGGAUGGAAUUCCGCGUGUAGCAGUGAAAUGCGUAGAUAUGCGGAGGAACACCGAUGGCGAAGGCAAUCCCCUGGGCCUGCACUGACGCUCAUGCACGAAAGCGUGGGGAGCAAACA